GGUCUAGGUAGGGCCUCCCAGGUCCUGUGUAUGAAAGAAAUCUGAAAUUAAAUUAUUCACAACUAAUACAAGAAUAAUAAUAAUCAUAUUACAAGGAUAAAAUUCUACGACAUAUCAGAUAUUUUAAAGCUCAUUAAAUAUUUUUCAGAAGGCUGAAAUUUAACUCCAAAUUAUGAGUGGCUGAUUGGAAUAUUUGACAAAAUUGGUAUAUUCAGUAGUUAUAGUCUCAGCUGCAUUGAAUGCCCUAAAAAAAACAAACAAACAAAAAAAAAAAACUAGAAAAUGAGAAGAAAAUAUAAUUUUGCUUGAAGUUUGUAUAAACAUGGGGGUUGGGGAAACUAGCCUCUCUCUUG